UCAGGCGUCCAGAAAAGCAGCCCAUUGUCUUCGAAAGGAGAGUCUCAGAGGAAGUUGUAUCUCAGACUCUGGAGAGGAAGACCCAGCAGUGUGUGCUUUUGCACAGCAGCCUGACAGGACAUCAGUAAUGCGUCACAGCACUGGAAACCUGCCCUCCAUCAGACUGAACAACACCUUAAUAUGGGUAUCUUGGCUUGGACUCUGGAGGGUUCCCAUGGGUUUAUUUGGGAGAAAAGGUAGAGAGCUAAGUGAUGAGCUCCCUCGAAGUAAAAACACAGUGGGACUUCCGUUCUCCAUUCCCAACUACUGUCAUAGUUAAUCAAAUCGGUUUCAUAUUGUCAUUUGCUGGAUACUUCCUAACAUGAAUAUUUAAUACUUAAUUUAGUUUUUAAAUGGUUGCU